GGAACGGGCCUCGGGGCGAACCUUACUGC
rnacentral:sRNA from 1 species